GGGGCUGACUUGGAUUUCGACAGAUUUCUUGUCGCACAGAUAGCAUGCCAAGCGCUGCUUGUAAAACAGCAACAAAAAUAACUGUAAACAACGCAGAUUACGCUCCAGCUUACGCUAAAGUUGCGUGAGUUAAUCUCCUUUUGGAGCUGGACUGAUUAGAAUUUCUAGCGUUUUAAUCACUCCAUAACCUUAAGCUAGACGCUUUUAAAAGGUGGUUCGCCUUUUAAACUAAGAAACAAGAACUCUUGAAACUACCUCAAGGUUUUAGAAAGUUGGACCAGAGCUAGUUUUAAGGCUAAAAAACUAACCAAUUUUCUAAGCAUUGUAGAAGUUUGUGUUUAGGACAAGAUUUUUGGACUGGGGUUCGAUUCCCCACAGCUCCACCA
rnacentral:tmRNA from 1 species